UGGAAUAACUCACCGAAAGGUGUGCUAAUACCGGAUACGUUGAGAAAUCAAGAAAGGUGGCCUCUGCAUAUGCUACUGUGCUGGGAUGAGCUUGCGUACCAUUAGCUAGUUGGUAGGGUAAUGGCCUACCAAGGCGACGAUGGUUAGCGGGUCUGAGAGGAUGAUCCGCCACACUGGAACUGGAACACGGACCAGACUCCUACGGGAGGCAGCAGUGAGGAAUAUUGCGCAAUGGGGGCAACCCUGACGCAGCGACGCCGCGUGGAUGAUGAAGGCCUUCGGGUCGUAAAAUCCUGUCAGAUGGAAAGAAGUGCAUGGUGGCUAAUACCUGCCAUGUUUGACGGUACCAUCGAAGGAAGCACCGGCUAACUCCGUGCCAGCAGCCGCGGUAA
rnacentral:rRNA from 1 species